GGCUCUGAGGUGAAAAAUCAUGUUGAAUUGCAAAUUCGAAGAAGCAGCUUGCUGCUGCCAGGGCUU
rnacentral:tRNA from 1 species